CAGGGAAAUGCCUAAGUAGAAGAGGAAAAACAUUUAAGCAAAGUACCUUCUGCAUCGUGCACUGUUUCUUCAGACCCAUCAAAGCAGAAACUCGGAAGGAGUUCCUCCUAAGAAUUUGACAUGUUCAAGAAUGUCUUCGUCUUUUACUUCAUUGACCUUUCCCAUCAGAAGAAAUGCUUCAGACUGGAGCCUAACAACAGACACUACAGAAGAGACGGAGGAAGGGAUGGAAAAGAAUGACAGUCAUUUCCAUUUUCAUUUGCAGUCAUUUUCAUUAUGUUUUCUCAUCAGUUCUGAAAAUAUACAAGUUAUGUAAACUAAUCCUUUUUAUGGUUGGUACAAUGUGUUUGCUAUUCCUACUGCUAUCAUUUAAUCCUGCGAUUAAAGACAGAUCAAGUCUCCAUCCCUUCCUUUACUCACAAAUGUUGCCUCUCCCGUUGAAAUAAUCUAUAAAUGCCUUGAGUCAGAAAUUCAUUUAAAAUGAUAACAAGGUCAUGAUCUCAGCUGAGGUUUCAAAGCAAUUGUAUUGCUAUUAGUACUAAUAGCAAUCAAAAAUCCACCAAUUUCAAUAAAAGUAAAUCAAGAAAAAUAAAGAAUAUCCUUUAAAGGGCAGCAUUAGAAAUUUAACCGACUACUAGAAUCAUACCGUCCCUGUUUUCCCCUUGGAAGGCUCUUCAGAGUUGCGCACAGUAAAAUGCAGAGUCAUCAUAUAAAUCGAUGAGUAGUGUAUCUUAUUAUUACAUUCCUCUCAAAAAUUUGAAGUUUUCUCUCACUGAUUUUCUCUAAUCAGGAAUUAAUAAAUCAGUAUGAAUGUUGGUUUCCUGAAAUUUCUGAAAGUAAUGGGUAAGACACAAGGUUUUUUUACAAGAGAUAGAAUAAGCCCCGAUUGCAUAGUACCAUAGAUAGUAGUACAAAAAUGGUCAUGUUUUUCAUCCUUUUUUUAGAAUAACUAAAGCAUCUGUAAGAGCAUGCUGCUAUCUCACUUUUUCCAUCGGGUUCUGCAGUUGUUCCUAGGCCAUCUCCUUAGUAACUUUGUUGGAAGCACUUCCUUUUGAACAAAAGCCUUUAUUUUUUAAGUUUUUACU